UGCAGCAACUGCCAAAGAACAAAAGAAUUUGAUGGUGGGGAUCAGCAUGUUCUCAACAUGGGAACCUAUAUGGUUUCACACCAAGUCUUUCGACAGUAUUCCAAACAGUUCCUCACAGAUGGAACAACGCUGUCUUCUUUUUAUAAAACAUUGGUGUGGCAGCAUGCUGAAAAUGGUGAUCAAGAAUUCAGUAACCAAUUGUCCUACUACAGAUUCCGAUAUGCAUGGUAUGCAUACUUGGACUUGUUGGAUAUAUCCUAUGAGGAGGGCUUCCAGUGCCCCUGCUGUGGGGAGUCACCAGAGGUAGUCAUUAUGGAUGGUGUCACCCUGGGGAUCAAAAACACCCACAUGGACUGGAAGAUGCCACAAGAAGAACCACAGA